CUGUAAGACUGGGAUAACUUCGGGAAACCGGAGCUAAUACCGGAUAAUGCACAGCCUCUCAUGAGGCUAUGCUGAAAGAUGGUUUCGGCUAUCACUUACAGAUGGGCCCGCGGCGCAUUAGCUAGUUGGUGAGGUAACGGCUCACCAAGGCAACGAUGCGUAGCCGACCUGAGAGGGUGAUCGGCCACACUGGGACUGAGACACGGCCCAGACUCCUACGGGAGGCAGCAGUGGUCAUAGC
rnacentral:rRNA from 1 species